CUUCGAUAGGCUCCGCUUCCAGCGAACGGCCUGUCCGCCUCCUACAAGGCAAGCAAAGCUUCUUCGCGUGAUACUACGGGCACUGGAGCCCGCAACGACCAGUCACAAUACCCCAUAGGCUACACACGACACUUGCCACAGGACGCACUUCUCCAAAGUCCUUUUCCGCUAGUGCUUGGACAGAGUCACGCGACGCAAGGGAGAGGAAGAUGCCGGGCGGGCGGCCCUAGUGUCGGGCGCGGUGACUCUGGUCCCAUCAUCUGAAUUCACUCCGCCAUUUUACGUCUCCUACAGUUCCAGUUCUCCUCCUCCGACCGCCACGUUACCAGCAGGCUGCAAUCAUGCGUUCGCACGCCUCGCUUUUUUUAAAUACUCAAUUUGCAAGCCUUUUAAAAUAUGACACUGAGCGUGCGAAUUCUUUCCAUUCAGAACUGAAACCGCCCAAGCAAACUCACCGGAAACUCGCUGGAAGUGGCGAAACUCCUCGCUGCCGGCGGCGGACAGGCGACAGCUCAAUAGCGAGCUCGAGCUCACGCUAAAGCUAUGUACGGCACCUAGGGGUGGCCGGUUGCGGGUGCUGCGCGAGCUGCGUCCUUAACGCAGUUGUGGACGGCGCCGGGGGCAAGAGUCAACACAGAUGGUGGAUUUGGAAUCAGAUGCCCCAAUCGGCAAUGCUACGCACGGCUGCUCGGAGGCUCGGCGACUUAUCGUUGACUCGUAGCGCUCUGCUGUUGUUGCUCGGCCUCGCGCUGUGCUGAAGUUGUAGGUGCUCAUCGGCGGGACAUGUUUGCGGCUGCUUGUCCACCAUCGGAUUGGGCACUCAAGCAAUGGAGCUGCAACGAGAGCCGAGGGGAGCACAGACUGGCGCGGUCGUCGACACAGAUUAGGCUACCAAUCACGAGGCCGAAGAUACCGACGGCCCUCGCUCCCUGCAGUGCCCGCUCGAGGUAGCUGGGGUGCUUGAUACCCUGUGCGAGGCUAGCUCCAGGUGGACGCGGCUAGCGGAGAGGAUGCGGCGGCGCUGCAACUUUCAGGCAUGCUCGGCCGCGGCGCAUUUGGGCGCGUGGUGGUCCGCAGCCUGGAGUGCUGCUCGAGCAGCCGGCGUCGGAGAAGAACGGUCGGGCCUUCCUGUCCAAUCGGUGUAGAUGAUAAGGUAGGAGUAUUGCUGUCCAUUCACUGGCCCUAGAAAAUGAAAAGGAAAAAGAAAAGGAAUUGAAAGGAGAAAAGAGUAGAAAACCCUCAAAUCGAAAGAAUUUACGUGCUCAGUGUUAUAUUUCAAAAGUCUUGCGAAUUGAGCGUUAAAA